rnacentral:rRNA from 1 species
ACGGCGACCGGCGCACGGGUGAGUAACACGUAUGCGACCUGCCCGUAGCAGGGGGAUAAGCGGAAGAAAUUCCGUCUAAUACCGCGUAAUAUCUUUCGGGGGCAUCCCUGAGGGAUUAAAGGAAGCGAUUCCGGCUACGGAUGGGCAUGCGGCGCAUUAGCUAGUCGGCGGGGUAACGGCCCACCGAGGCGACGAUGCGUAGGGGUUCUGAGAGGAAGGUCCCCCACAUUGGAACUGAGACACGGUCCAAACUCCUACGGGAGGCAGCAG